CAAGUCGACAUGUAUGAUGUGGUGGUGCUGGGAAGAAUACACAGAAAAUAUUCUUGAAACUACAAAUAGAUAUUGGAAAUGCAUAAAACUUCUUUUCAGAAUGGGUAUGCUGGCCCUUGCAGUGUUUUCUAUUGUUUGCGAUAGUUGGUUGGUGACAUAAAGUGGAUUGGCAAGGCAGGGAUUAUUUGAAGAGUGCAAAAUCAAAAGUUCUUAUAAUAAUUGCUUUGCCCAAGGAAGUUGCUCUCUUUGUUUUACAAACAGCACUGAUGAACGCUGCGAAAAACUAGAUACUUGUGCUCUCAUUGCUGUCGUUGUUUAUUUCUGUUUGAAUGUGCCUCCUAGUGGAUUGGGGAAGUUAUGUGCUUAUUUCGGAAUCCCAUUUUACUACACUCUUGCUCGUGCUCUACCUGUUAUUAUAGCAAUCCUUUCGUCAAUCGCUCCAAUUUUCAAUGACUGGAAAACAAUAAAGUGGUUAAUUGUAACGGCAGCAGGCAAACUUCAAAAAUGCAGCUGUAAAGAACAACAAAAAACAGCGCCUAACGAACCCGAAGAAAGUUGCGCAAAGACUUGCUGUAACAAAACCGAGCGUCACUCAAAUCAAAAAUACUUUGUUUUGUGGAACCUGACAAAUUUUCUAGUUUCGAUUUACUGUUUGCUAGGCAACACUUGGGUAGCUGGCGAAAACGAUAUAGCGAGAUAGGGUUUAUUACACGAAUGUCGUCUCACGGACUUGGGACCCCUUACUCCUGCUAAUAUUGGAUGUGCCGAAUAUAACUCAACGAAACCUCCGCAGUGCCAAUUCCUCUGGAGAAAAAGCUUCAAUGGUGCAGAAAUAUUCACAAUAUUCGUAUUAGUCGUUGCGAUUUUUUGUCGAUUUGCUCUGUCUUUCUAUUUUUAUUGUACGCGUUAUGACAUUGACAACAUACCAAACGCACCACAAGAAUCUAUAUUCUAUCAGAGAUGUUUUGAAGACGUCAAUGCGCUCCUUGGUUUAUUUGCAAUAAUUUGGUAUGUGGCAACCGAAAUCCAUCUUCCUGGAAAUCUUUGUUCGCACUACUCUUCGGGUUUUCAUCUCUUCAUUGCAACCUCCUUCAUUGGAUGCACAUUUGCUCGUCUACUAAUGAUUCUCGCGUGUUUUGUUGUGUUGAUCGUGCUUUUUGUCUUUUUACCAUCAAUUGUGUGUAUUACGGCAAUUCUAUUUUGGUUUCGCAAAAUGUAUUCAUCAAUUACCAAAAGACGUCGCCA